AUUUGCAGCCAGUCAUUCAGCACGUCUGGCUGUUAACCAGAAGGUUGGUGGUUCGAGCCCACUGAGGAAUG